rnacentral:misc_RNA from 1 species
UUUCCGUAGGUGAACCUGCGGAAGGAUCAUUAAUGAGUUGUCAUGGGGUUCGAUGCUGGCAGCCAGUUUUUGGAUGCAUGUGCUUGCCCUAACAAUCAUCUUCUUCCAAACACCUAUGCACAUUUUUGAGGGAGUCUUGAGUUGGUUGCCGCUCUUGGGUGAUUUUCUCACGUUCCCUUAAAUCAUUAUACGCUAUUAACAAUGUUGAACGUGCUCUGUGCCGCAAGGCCAUUAAUAGAAUACAACUUUUAACAACGGAUCUCUUGGCUCUC